rnacentral:rRNA from 1 species
CCGNGGAGGGUCAUUGGAAACUGGGAGACUUGAGUGCAGAAGAGGAAAGUGGAAUUCCAUGUGUAGCGGUGAAAUGCGUAGAGAUAUGGAGGAACNCCAGUGGCGAAGGCGACUUUNUGGUCUGUAACUGACNNUGAGGCGNGAAAGCGUGGGGAGCAAACNGGAUUAGAUACCCUGGUAGUNCACGCCGUNAACGAUGAGUGCUAAGUGUUAGAGGGUUUCCGCCCUUUAGUGNUGAAGUUAACGCCUUCAGCACUCCGCCUGGGGAGAACGGCCGCAAGGNUGAAACUCAAAGGAAUUGACGGGGGCCCGCACNAGCGGUGGAGCAUGUGGUUUAAUUNGAAGCAACGCGAAGAACCUUACCAGGUCUUGACAUCCUNUGACAACCCNAGAGAUAGGGCUUNUCCUUNGGGAGCAGAGUGACAGGUGGUGCAUGGUUGUNGUCAGCUNGUGUNGUGAGAUGUUGGGUUAAGUCCCGCAACGAGCGCAACCCUUGAUNUUAGUUGCCAUCAUUNAGUUGGGCACUNUAAGGUGACNGCCGGUGACAAACCGGAGGAAGGUGGGGAUGACGUCAAAUCAUCAUGCCCCUUAUGACCUGGGCUACACACNUGNUACAAUGGACGGUACAAAGAGCUGCAAGACCGCGAGGUGGAGCUAAUNUCAUAAAACCGUUNUCAGUUCGGAUUGUAGGCUGCAACUNGCCUACAUGAAGCNGGAAUCGCUNGUAAUCGCGGAUCAGCAUGCCGCGGUGAAUACGUUCCCGGGCCUUGUACACACCGCCCGUCACACCNCGAGAGUUUGUAACACCCGAAGUCGGUGGGGUA